rnacentral:rRNA from 1 species
UAGUUCUUCGGAAUUAGAGACCGGCGCACGGGUGCGUAACGCGUAUGCAAUCUACCUUUCACAGAGGGAUAGCCCAGAGAAAUUUGGAUUAAUACCUCAUAGUAUGCAGAGUUGGCAUCAGCUCUGCAUUAAAGUCACAACGGUGAAAGAUGAGCAUGCGUCCCAUUAGCUAGUUGGUAAGGUAACGGCUUACCAAGGCUACGAUGGGUAGGGGUCCUGAGAGGGAGAUCCCCCACACUGGUACUGAGACACGGACCAGACUCCUACGGGAGGCAGCAGUGAGGAAUAUUGGUCAAUGGGCGCAAGCCUGAACCAGCCAUGCCGCGUGCAGGAUGACGGUCCUAUGGA